GUGGGGAAUCUUGCGCAAUGGGCGAAAGCCUGACGCAGCCAUGUCGCGUGAAUGAUGAAGGUCUUAGGAUUGUAAAAUUCUUUCACCGGGGACGAUAAUGACGGUACCCGGAGAAGAAGCCCCGGCUAACUUCGUGCCAGCAGCCGCGGUAAUACGAAGGGGGCUAGCGUUGCUCGGAAUUACUGGGCGUAAAGGGCGCGUAGGCGGACAGUUUAGUCAGAGGUGAGAGCCCAGGGCUCAACCUUGGAAUUGCCGUUGAUACUGGCUGUCUUGAGUACGGGAGAGGUGAGUGGAACACCGAGUGUAGAGGUGAAAGUCGUAGAUAUUCGGAAGAACACCAGUGGCGAAGGCGACUCACUGGCGCGUUACUGACGCUGAGGCGCGAAAGCGUGGGGAGCAAACAGGAUUAGAUACCCGAGUAGUCC
rnacentral:rRNA from 1 species